AUUUCCUCCCAACCUCCUCCUCCUCCUCCUCCUCCUCCUGGAGGAACAUCGCUAAGCCUGUUGUACAUGGUUACAAGGACAGAGAAAGGGGAGAGGAAGAGAAUGACGUUCCAGAUUCCUCAUUGCUGUCAUACCUGCAGGAUUUCACACCGGAAGCUUCUGACUCAAGGCCGAGUUAUCCAUGACUCAAAGGGUCAGAUCCCGCCAGCACAUACUAGGCCAGUGCGUCAGGGAAGCCCUUCGCAAAGUGAAUCGACUCCAUUUGCCCCUUCACCACAAAGCCCUGCUUUCACAUCUCCAUUUACCUCCCAUCAGCAAAGGUUAUUGUCUCCAGUCACAAAAUGCCUUGAUUUCAUUCUCAUUGCUUACUCCCACUGAUUUCAGGAGGCCCUGGCCACCAUCUUAGAUUCUCUAUAGAUCUUUUGCCAUAUGGAACCCCAAGCUAGAUCAAGGCACCAUAGUGAAGUGGAAAGAACACUAAGAUAUCAGGCAGAAGACUUGAAAAAAUAAUGACCGCAAAACCGAUGCCACCGUUACCCAGAUGUAACGUUAAUCCAUAAAAAUGAAAGAAUGUUUUAAUAGGUGUUAUUAUACCAAACACUCAUAAUCUCCA
rnacentral:lncRNA from 1 species